rfam:Rattus norvegicus chromosome 14, whole genome shotgun sequence.
GGGGAUUUAGUUCAGUGGUAGGGCGCUUGCCUAGCAAGCGAAAGGCCCUGGGUUCGGUCCCCAGCUCCG